ensembl:lncRNA
GCUGGAGCGCGCUCGGCGGAGCCCGGGGCGGGAGGCGGCCGCAGCCGGGGAGCCGGAGCCGCCGCCGCCGCUGCCGCCGAGCAGCAUGGUUGGCGGGGAGUUUACAGCCCCCGGAGCGGGCAGGGGCCACGGAGGAGAAGCGGCGGCGGCGGCGGCGGCGGCUGCAGCGGUCGGAGGGGACGCGCUGGAAGUGGGAGCUGAUGAGUGAAAAGAAAAAAAAGUCUUUGGAUCUUUAUUCUGCUAAUUAGUUUCCUGCAAAAAAUGGCUGUGAUUAAUUCAGUGCGCAUGUGCUUCAUUACCCAGGCACGACGGGAAGGGCUAAUUAGCCACCUUCUGGAUCAAUAAGAUUCAGCAAAAAAGAAAAGGGGGAGGUGGAGGGAGGCAGAGGGGAGGAAGGGAGGGAAAAAAAAAAAAAAAACAGGGGAAAGUGAUGAGCAGGGCGAGGAGAGCAGGAAGAGAGGAUGGGAGAAGAGCCCAGGAAGAGGGAGAGAGGCACCAAAAGUUUAUGCAUGUAUUAAAAACACAUACACACACACACACACGACACACGCGCGCGCGCGCGCGCGCACACACACACACACACACACACACACACACACACACACCGAGAAGUGAAAUGCAGAGAACCAACAAUAGGAACCUGGCUAAGAUUUUUUUUUCUUUCCUUUCUUUUUUUCUCUCUUUUCUUUCGCUCUUGUUUUUUCUUUCCCCCUUUCCUUUUCUUUCUUUCAUUUUUUGGCAAACGCAGAAAUAUUUAAAUUAAAUAGGAAGAGAGCAUCCUCAAAGAGGAAGGGGGUGGGGGCAUUAAUGGAGUGGGACAGCUUAAAGCAAAGAUUUAAGUGAAAGAACAGAGAAGGAGCAGAGACUUAGAAUAGAAACCACUUUAAAUUGCAAAUCGGAGAUAUUUUUUUUAAAGGAGGAAAAUUACCUCCCCCCCCCCCAUCAGAGGACAAAUGGAGAAAAUAUGGAGAAAACUUUAACACGUACCACAGACUAGACAAAAAGAUAUAAUAUGUUAAUUUUGUCUUCUGAAAUAAGACGCAAUCAAUCUUCUCUGGUUCUUUAGAAGGAGGGGAAAGAGGAGUGAUGAUUAGAAGAAAUAAAAGGGGGAAAGUGAAUCAGAACUGAAAGGGGGCAACUUAAGGAAAGACUUGGAAACAAGUCCAACUUUCUACCUUUCUGGACUUAAGAGAAAAGUAAAAUCAAUUUUCUCGUGUAAAACCUGGAAAGCAGAUGUUUUCAAAACACAGGAAGCUAUUUUGCCAUCAAAAGCAGGGAUGUAAUAAAGGCAGUGAAAAAUAAUUUCAGACUAAAUUCGUAAGAAAGAAAGCCAAUAUAUUUAUAUAGCAAGGAAAGGUCUAGAGUGUGUGUGUGUGUGUGUGGGUGUGUAUGUGUGUGUGUGUGUGUGUGGUGGUGGUGGUGUGGGGGGUGGGAAUUACAUACUCUUUCCCUAAAUACAAAAAAAAAAAAAAAGUCUUACAGCUACCUCCAAGAGUUUGGAGCAGAGUCUCAGAAGCCAAAGGGCUUGAAAUGAGAGGAUGGAUUUCAGAUAAAGACUAGGCGCGGUACAUCCCACCAGAGCCCGAAGGAGAUCCCUAGAAUCAAAGACAGCAUCCAGGGACCCUGCUACUGUACCGAUUCCUAGUACAUCAAAGCCAUCACUUAGGCGGGUGCAUGAUACCUCCAAAAAGCAAGCAAACAAACGCAGGAAGAACAGGAGUCUCUCUCUCUCCCCCUCUCUCUUUCUUUCUCUUUUUUCUCUCCCCCCACUGCUACUGCAAUAGAUUUUUUUAAAUGACAAGUAUGCAUUCAUGCAAGUUCUAAAUAUAAACUAGUACCAUUGAAAUUAAAAUGUCUGGAAUAAAAUAAAAUGCAAUUUGCACUUUAAAUGAUCUGCAAACAAAUGUAAAAACAUUUAUGUUUUUGAAGGCAUUAUUCAUGAACCCUGUAACAUCAGGUAGAGAACGCACACUAAAACUUAUUUUUUUGUAGAAAAAAAUUUUUUGUCCCAGCCUUGCUGCAUUAUUUAUUUUAGAAGGAAUUGGGGGAUUAAUCGGGAAAUCUGUUUGAUUAGAAGGGAAUUCUUCAUUUUGAGAGAUUUCCCAAUGCUCUUAAGAGCGUACAGCUUCUUAGUCAAGACUAGGAGGAGAAAACCGGUUUAGGAUUUUGCAGGGUUACCUCAUCUAAUCCUUCUGAAUUCACUCUGGGAAUAAUGCUGUUUUAUUUAGAAAAAAAAAAAAAAAACAUUUAGAGAAAUCGGGGGUUUCCUCUCUAUGAGCCAAAUCUGGAUUGCCAUUCAAACUUUUCCUGGCUGCUUUCCAUGCGGGACAGUAGAUCAAUAAAGCCAAGUCCAGCCUGGCUUGCUACAGGUUUCACCAGUCAGUGCUUGCAAAACCUUUGUCAUUUUCUAAAAAUAAAAAAGCUAAAAGUUAUUGUAGAAGAAGGGGCUUUUUUUUGUCCUCUGCACAAUGUGUCUUUUGUGAGGUUAAUGCCAUUCUGGGCUCUCGAUAGCCCUGGACAAUGGGAACUCUCCAGGAGUCUGCAAAGACUCUGGCUUUCUUCUUGCUUGAUUUUUUUUCUAAAGGGAAGGAUGAAACAUUCCUACAGUCCAAACACAACUUCUACUUUGAUUAAAUAAAUAUUUAUCUUUAUUGUAGCCAUUGUAUAUUUUUACCUUCAGUUUGUCCAGUUUCUGAUUAUUAUUUUAAAUUUUUCAUUGGCAACAGUUAAUCUUUUUUUUUUUUCCUUUCAGUCCAAAGUGCAGGUCAGUGUAAAAUGUAGCUGACUGAAGGAAGACUGGUAAAUUCAGAAUUUUUCCAUUAUACAUCAGAAAUAGAGGAAAAAGGCAAACCUAAUCUUCCUGCACGAGGAGAAUAGCACGAAAUUUGGAGCCAGCGCUCGCUCGGGGCCCAGCAGGGCAGCAGGGACGUUCGACGCCACCUUCCUCUCGCUCUGGCAUGGGAUGCACGCUUUUUGAGGCUGCUCUCCUCUGCUCCGGGCUCAGUAUAGACUGAGCGCUUUUCCCUCCUCCCCAUGAACCACAAACCUCGCGGAUCCCAACAGUUUCCCGAGACACUGACCAUACAGUCACUGAGCCAGGGCUCGCGACCCUCAGCCUGGCACACCCGACCCCAUUUCGGGGAAGCUUUAUUCUCCUGACGGCUCUGAGCUCCCGACAGGAAGCGCGGGGCGCUCAGGCCCCUGGAGAGGCCAGCUGGGGAACUUACAGCGGCGCAGAACCGCUGUCCCGGGCUGGGCAACCCUCACAGGUGUGCGCAACACACUGCGGCUGGCUCUGCGGGGAAAUGAAUCCUCAUGGAACAACUGCAGCACCCCAUUGCGACCCUGUGGGACGCCUCCAUACAACCAGCAGGCCGGGUGCUGGCCCCUGCAGCCACCUCGGAAGGAAAGAGGACAGCAGCGGGCGCACCUCUUGCGCACGCACGACCUGAGAUGCCCAGGCCCAGCGUCGGUUCCCUUGACCCUCCCAUUCCCCAUGCCGGCGCUCAUGGUGGCAUCCCCUCUCCACCGCCCUGGCCAGGCUGCCCAGCUCCUUGAGGACACAGGUGCCCCAAGCCCAUCCUGUGGGGGCACCAAGGUGGGGGCAGUUGAAGGGCUCUGCAUCCAGGAGGGCAAGGGGUGGAGUUCCCAAACAACACUCCCAGUGGAGGCUUGGAGGACCAGACGGUGGUUCUACACCCCACAGUCCCAGGGGUCUGGGAGCCAGGGACCCCUUGGGAGACACUCAGGCCUGCAGAAACUUGGCUGACCGAGGGGGUGGAACUGGAUGCUUAGGGUUUGCUGGGGGUCCACUCGAAGAGUGCCCUGUCUGUGUUUUGGGUCCUGCGGGUCCCCCUCCCUUUCGUUUUUGUCUGGGAAGAAAAAGCAAAGCGGGUGGAUUUGCGCCGACCCCUCUUCCCCUAGUCUGGGAAUGCUGCGGCAGGAAGAAUUGCUCAUAACGACACUUAAGCCUCGACACUUGAAUGCUAAAGGUUAAACUUACAGUCUUCAGGGAAGGGCUUCCUGCCAGCUGGAACAGUGGUGUGGCCGCCACAGGCUCUCCUCCACCCACCCUGCCCCCUACUCCAGGUACAGCCAGAGUCACUAACGCUUUCGGGGCCUUCUUGCACCUCAGGAGAGGCAGCCCUGGGUGUAACUCUUCCCAUCCCUCCCCCACCUCUGGGGGGCCUCGUUCCUGGUCUCCUGGUCAUCUUGUCAUGGUUGCUCAUACCUCAGGUUGCCCUCAGCAGGCGGGACUUGCUGGUUCCAGCUAGUUCACACAGGUGGGUACUUGUCCCUCUUCCCUUUGCCGGGUACUUAGUGGCCCCUACAGCAAAGCCGGAGCUAACACACCGAAUGCAG